rnacentral:rRNA from 1 species
AUUGAACGCUGGCGGCAGGCCUAACACAUGCAAGUCGAACGAGUGGCGGACGGGUGAGUAAUGUCUGGGAAACUGCACGAUGGAGGGGGAUAACUACUGGAAACGGUAGCUAAUACCGCAUACCAGCGGAUAUGCCCAGAUGGGAUUAGCUAGUGGGUGGGGUAAAGGCUCACCUAGGCGACGAUCCCUAGCUGGUCUGGUAGGAUGACCAGCAACACUGGAACUGAGACACGGUCCAGACUCCUACGGGAGGCAGCAGUGGGGAAUAUUGCACAAUGGGCGCAAGCCUGAUGCAGCCAUGCCGCGUGGAUGAAGAAGGCCUUCGGGUUGUAAAGUACUUUCAGCGAGGAGGCGUUACUCGCAGAAGAAGCACCGGCUAACUCCGUGCCAGCAGCCGCGGUAAUUC